GAUCUGUAGUCUUGGACCUGCGCUGGGUUGGUGGUACCCUAGAGCACACCAGACUUGCAGAAACAGCAUACUCCAGAGGAAGCUGAGGCAUGCCUGCUCAAGAGCCAUCAGUUCCAUGUGCAAUUUUCCUCUGAUAGGUUCUGGGUACUGUUGCCACGGUGAUGAUGGCUGUGCUGUGCCAUUGUCGAUCCACCAACAGUCAGAGAAGCUUUGCAGUCAAGAUAUUGUUUAGCAGACGGAGUGGUUUCUGUUGGACACUUAAGUACUGCUACAAAA
ensembl:scaRNA small Cajal body-specific RNA 13